rnacentral:lncRNA from 1 species
UUUACUUAACAAGUCCAAAGAAAUUUUAACAUUUCAGUUCCGACCCCGUUUGGUCACUGCGAACUGUACCGAACUGCAAUCUUUAUCCGAUAGCUUUCGGAUCCAAUUUCUCUCUCUACGGGUGUCAGAAUAAUCUGAAACUUCAAAUAUAGCCUCAUAAAAACAUUCCUGACAUCUCUGCCAAUUUUUAUAAUUUUCUGACACUGUGCAUUUUCUGCUAAUUUCUCAGUCCCGUUCUUUACAGAAAAUUCUAAAUCUUCUGUUUUCGCUCCGAUUUCAACACGAGUCAUUCCAGACUUAUGUUUUACACCCUUAAGUCCAAUCAAAUGGUAUCUCAUACCAUUUUAUAUUACUUUGCUCACUUUAAUUCUUUUAAUCAAAGUUAGCNGAACCGCGACCCGCGCUCCCGACACUUGUCGCCGAAAAUGUUCUUUUGGCGAUAUCUUUGCGUAGGCUCGACGGAUUGCCGAACCGACUUCGCCAACGCGUUUCUUUUACCCUCAAUUAGGUUUGUCGCGGUCAAUUUUACGUUAGGACUUCAAUCCUGCAAAAGUGCAUUAGCGAGGUCAGUUUCUAUAAAACCCUUUUUGAUGCAAUUUCACAAUUCAAUUCCUUCUAUUCUUUCAUAUUUCCUCUUAUUCUUUCUUUUCUUUCUUUCUUUCUUUUCUUUCCCUGCAGCUUUCUUACUUUCUUUUCUUUCUUUCUUUUCUUUCCUUGCUUUCUUUCUUUUCUUUCUUGCUUUCUUGCUUUUCUUUCCCUGCUGCCCCUGCAGGGCAGCUGCUGCUGCUGCCACUACUGCUGCUAAGCUGCUGCUAAGCUGCUGCUGUAGCUGCUGCACUGCUGCUGCUGCUACUCCAGCAGCUGCUGCUGCUGGUACUCCAGCAGCUGCUGCUGCUGGUGCAUGCUGCUGCUGCUGCUGCUGGCAGCAGCUAGCUGAGCUGCUGCUGCUGAUGCUACAGCUGCUGCUGCUGAUGCUGCUACUCCAGCAGCUGCUGCUGCUGAUGCUACUGCUGCUUGCUGCUGCUGCUACUCCAGCAGCUGCUGCUGCUGGUGCUACUACUGCUGCUUGCUGAGCUGACCAACCUGCUGCUGCUGCUGUUGCCACUGCUGCUACAACCAGUAGCAGAGGGAAAAAUGGAAAGGGAAAAGGAAAGGAGAAGAGAAAAACAAUGAAAUUACCUCUUUUCUUCUUCUCUUCUUCUUCUUCUUUUGCUCUUCCUCUCCCUCUCUCUCUCUCUACGUAUGGCAGGGUGAAGGGGGAUAAGGAUGGAGGGGGCUGCCUGGCAGGUUUAGUGGAAAUCCACUAAGCCUAGGAUAUUUACCAUUUUGCCCCUCGAGUAUUACAACUUGGCGACACGGAUCAAUCACCUUUCGCAGUUCCUUCCAAAUGUCCGAUUGAGCUCAAAUUUGACAGGCACUUUCGGUUUUACUUAACAAGUCCAAAGAAAUUUUAACAUUUCAGUUCCGACCCCGUUUGGUCACUGCGAACUGUACCGAACUGCAAUCUUUAUCCGAUAGCUUUCGGAUCCAAUUUCUCUCUCUACGGGUGUCAGAAUAAUCUGAAACUUCAAAUAUAGCCUCAUAAAAACAUUCCUGACAUCUCUGCCAAUUUUCAUAAUUUUCUGACACUGUGCAUUUUCUGCUAAUUUCUCAGUCCCGUUCUUUACAGAAAAUUCUAAAUCUUCUGUUUUCGCUCCGAUUUCAACACGAGUCAUUCCAGACUUAUGUUUUACACCCUUAAGUCCAAUCAAAUGGUAUCUCAUACCAUUUUAUAUUACUUUGCUCACUUUAAUUCUUUUAAUCAAAGUUAACGUCGGAAAUCCGAAAAUUCUCUUUUGCAUUUCUUUUCGCGCCCAAUUUGUGCCGAAACAUUUAUUUAUCUCCAAAAUUCAUUCUCACGCGUCCAAAAUCACUCGGGGAUGAUGUCCAACUAGCUCAAUCCUCACUUUGAUCCCCUAGAUCAA